AUCGUUUAUUUGAUAGUACCUUACUACUUGGAUAACCGUGGUAAUUCUAGAGCUAAUACAUGCUAAAAACCCCGACUUCGGGAGGGGUGUAUUUAUUAGAUAAAAAACCAAUGCCCUUCGGGGCUCUUUGGUGAUUCAUGAUAACUUAACGGAUCGCAUGGCCUUGCGCCGGCGACGGUUCAUUCAAAUUUCUGCCCUAUCAACUUUCGAUGGUAAGGUAUUGGCUUACCAUGGUCUCAACGGGUAACGGGGAAUUAGGGUUCGAUUCCGGAGAGGGAGCCUGAGAAACGGCUACCACAUCCAAGGAAGGCAGCAGGCGCGCAAAUUACCCAAUCCCGACACGGGGAGGUAGUGACAAUAAAUACUGAUACAGGGCUCUUUUGGGUCUUGUAAUUGGAAUGAGUACAAUUUAAACCCCUUAACGAGGAACAAUUGGAGGGCAAGUCUGGUGCCAGCAGCCGCGGUAAUUCCAGCUCCAAUAGCGUAUAUUAAAGUUGUUGCAGUUAAAAAGCUCGUAGUUGAACCUUGGGCCUGGCUGGCCGGUCCGCCUCACCGCGUGCACUGGUCCGGCCGGGCCUUUCCUUCUGGAGAGCCCCAUGCCCUUCACUGGGUGUGCGGGGGAACCAGGACUUUUACUUUGAAAAAAUUAGAGUGUUCAAAGCAGGCCUUUGCUCGAAUACAUUAGCAUGGAAUAAUAAAAUAGGACGUGCGGUCCUAUUUUGUUGGUUUCUAGGACCGCCGUAAUGAUUAAUAGGGAUAGUCGGGGGCAUCCGUAUUCAAUUGUCAGAGGUGAAAUUCUUGGAUUUAUUGAAGACGAACUACUGCGAAAGCAUUUGCCAAGGAUGUUUUCAUUAAUCAGUGAACGAAAGUUAGGGGAUCGAAGACGAUCAGAUACCGUCGUAGUCUUAACCGUAAACUAUGCCGACUAGGGAUCGGGCGAUGUUACUAUUUUGACUCGCUCGGCACCUUACGAGAAAUCAAAGUUUUUGGGUUCUGGGGG
rnacentral:rRNA from 1 species